AUAUAGUCUUUUAGAAUGAUGUAUCAUUUUUCGUUAGUUGUUGAACUUUUAGUUUUUAUUCCUUUGCUAAUGUCUUUUUUUUUAAAAUAAAUUGCGUUUUAGGCUUUUAGCUUAUUGUCUUUUCUAAAAUCCAUUGUGUUUGAACCUUUAAAAUAGAAUAAGAGUGUUAUGAAAUGGGUAUUUAUUAGAUUUGAUUUCACAUCAAUUUUUUAUUUUUGUUAAUUUUAAGUUGUUAAUAUUGUGGUUGGAUAGUUGGUCUCAUUCGGUAUACUUCGACCAUGGCAAUGCUUAAGGAAAGAAUUGUUACUGAUUAGCCAAAGGGCUUGAAUUUGCUUAUCUGUUUGGUUUCGCUGGUGAAAAUGUUUGAUUGAGAUCAUGUUGCACCUCUUUGUUUUUUCUUUCAUUGUUGUGUACUUUUAAUUUUAUUGUGUUGUGAUUUUACAUUCCAAUUUAUGCUUUUGUGCAAGGGAGUGGUACUCUGGAAGAGAAACCAGGAGAAGCCAUAAGUUUCGCCUCCUAUUAAGGCUUGAUCUUCAUCUAAACUGCACAAUGUAUAUAAGAGACGGGUGUUUUUUUUGGUAUGAACAUAUAUCUACAUUUUCAGCAUAAAAUAAAGGAUUCUUCAGAACACGACGGCGAAACUCCUAAAUUUGAUCCUUGUAGUAUAACACAAGACUAAACUUUGCGGGAUAUCAAGUGUUUAAUGUGGUGCUGGUGCAAAUGAUACAAUUAUCAACCUUAGUGUUUCUGGAUUGCAUGCUUUGUUGGCGUGGAAUAUGUCUUCAAUGGUUUUCAUAAAUUAGCUACCAUCAUGCCACCUCAUGAUAGUAAAAUCCGGAACUUUCCAAAUCUAUCAGAUUUGGUUUUCUAGCUUCCUAAAAUGUUGAAUGACAUUUUUUAAACCUGGCGUUUUUAGGGGCCACCCCAAAGGAUUUAGGGGCCAUCAAUUUAUACCCAGCCAAAGACUCUAGUUAAGGGGUACCCUAUAUGAUAUUGAAGUUACAUA